UACGAAGGGGGCUAGCGUUGCUCGGAAUCACUGGGCGUAAAGCGCACGUAGGCGGAUUGCUAAGUCAGGGGUGAAAUCCUGGAGCUCAACUCCAGAACUGCCCUUGAUACUGGCGGUCUCGAGUCCGGGAGAGGUGAGUGGAACUGCGAGUGUAGAGGUGAAAUUCGUAGAUAUUCGCAAGAACACCAGUGGCGAAGGCGGCCAACUGGACCAACACUGACGCUGAGGCGCGAAAGCGUGGGGAGCAAACAGG
rnacentral:rRNA from 1 species